GGUCUUGCAGGCGGCAAAUCCCACGCCUAUAUUCCAUCCUGUCCGGGGCAACCCGGACUAUGGACAUAAACGCGCAUGGAAUAAGCGGAUCGGACCCGGGGGCGGUACCCGGCGACUCCACCAGAUCACCCUCGUUGGGGGGCCUUGGGGUCGAAACAGGAUCGACGAACGUCUAAAGAUGUUUGCUUUGUCUCGGUGAGCUACCACCGUUAUCGGUGCAAAAUGUACAGUUGCCAACGACAACCGUGCUCCGGUCGCUCUGGCUGCGUAAGCAGCUCGGGUAACCGAAAACUAAGUCCUUCCGCCUAGCAGCGUAAGGCGGGGCCCGCAGGAGCCUGGCAACAGAAUCCUGCACU
rnacentral:tmRNA from 1 species